rnacentral:rRNA from 1 species
UACGAAGGUGGCAAGCGUUGUUCGGAUUUACUGGGCGUACAGGGAGCGUAGGCGGUUGGAUAAGCCCUCCGUGAAAUCUCCAGGCUUAACCUGGAAAGUGCAGAGGGGACUGUUCAGCUAGAGGAUGGGAGAGGAGCGCGGAAUUCCCGGUGUAGCGGUGAAAUGCGUAGAGAUCGGGAGGAAGGCCGGUGGCGAAGGCGGCAUCCUGGACCGGUAUUGACACUGAGGCGCGAAAGCCAGGGGAGCAAACGGG